UUGUAAUUCCGACUCAUCACUCAUGGGUAGGGUUGUGCCUGGAGGAGGGCGCACUGCGGGAGCUAAAGAAACGUUCAGACUCUCACAGCAGUGGAUUCCCCACGCCUGGAAACUGAGCAGGAAGGAACCUGCCCUGGCAAUCUACACAAUCUCCACUGAUGAGGAGAUGAGACUUCCAGGAGGAUGAGGGCCAUCCACAGGGAUAUGGAGGAUGCUCAAGACUGGCGAGAAAGGAAGAAAAUCAGCUGGGUCCUCAAGACACAACUAACAGACUCUUUCAUCAUAACCUUUAAGAUGGAGGAAAUUUGACAUAGGAUGCAGGGGCAUCAUGUGAUCGACAAUGAGCAACAUAUCCACCAUGUGAUCCUCUCAGGACACAGGAAGUAAACCAAGAGUCUCACUUUCUAGCAUCUCACAUUGGCUUCCCUUCCAUUCUUCUCUUUAAUUUGUCUUCAGAGCACUGUACAGUGGUCGUCCUUGGUCCUAGACAAAUACUGUCUCCAUGAGAAGACCAGCACAGUUAGAGACAGGAUGGCCCAAGGGAGAAUCUGAUUUGUUCAGUUUAGGCCAUGUACCUAGUUGAGGACCAGUCGGCUUUGACAAAGGAGCUGGAGUCUUGGAGUAUGAUUGUUCUUAUAGAAGGUGCAGAUUAGAAGGGUCUGGCUAUCCAUGGGGACUCAGAAAGAAAUAAGAGUUUCAAGAGAUAGUGCUGAAGUGGUGUACAGAGAAGAAUUUCCAAAUUUUUCUUUUCUUUUCCUCAGUUCUUUCUGCAUUAACCUUGUGACUGCCAACAUACUUGUGUGUUGCAGAAUGUUUUUAGAAAAAUCAACAAAUGUUACCUUGAAAAAAUAAUAAAAAACAGAAAAAUA